GCUGAAAAUCUAGCCCAACCUAAAUUAAACCACUUAAAACCUAAUAAAAUAUUUUACUAUUCUAGUAGAGACGAUCAAAAAUCUUUCAGGAGCUAUACUCUGUACCGCAAGGGAUAAUGAAAUAAAUUAAAUAACUAAAGCACAAAAAAGUAGAGAUUACCCCUCGUACCUUUUGCAUCAUGAUUUAACUAGUCUAACCAAGCAAAAAGACUUUUAGUUUGACCCCCCGAAACUAAGUGAGCUACUCUGGGGCAGCUUACUGAGCGAACCCAUCUCUGUUGCAAGAGAGUGGGAAGACCCUAAAGUAGAGGUGAUAGACCUACCGAACUCAGUGAUAGCUGGUUACUCAAGAAAAGAAUGUUAGUUCACCCUAAAGCAACCAAUAAAAUUGAAUACCCCCUCCUUUAGAGUUAUUCAAGCAAGGUACACCUUUCUUGAAAUAGGAUACAACCUUCAACAACGGGUAACCUGUAUACACUAGAAUCAAGUAGGCCUAGAAGCAGCCACCUUAAAAAAGCGUCAAAGCUUAUUUCUUCCUUAUUCAAUACCACAACUUACACAGAACCCUUCAACACCAUUGAGUACUUCUAUGCUCUCCAUAGAACUUUUUAUGUUAAAACUAGUAACAAGAAAAUAUUCUCUUAUAAUGUAAGUGUAAGUCAGUAAUGGAUCAACCACUGACUCUUAUACAGUUAAACUAACAGCACCACCCCUAGAAAUCCCUGUUUCUAUAACUGUCAACCUAACACAAGAACAUUCCAAGAAAGAUUAAACAGAAAAGAAGGAACUCGGCAAACUAUGAUCUCGCCUGUUUACCAAAAACAUCGCCUCUUGAUAGUAUGAGAGGUCCAGCCUGCCCAGUGACCCCUAGUUAAACGGCCGCGGUAUCCUGACCGUGCGAAGGUAGCGUAAUCACUUGUUUUUUAAAUAAAGACUAGUAUGAAAGGCAUCACGAGGAUCAAACUGUCUCCUUUUUUUAAUCCGUGAAACUAAUCUUCCCGUGAAGAAACGGGAAUUUUUAUAUAAGACGAGAAGACCCUGUGGAGCUUUAAGGCAAAAUAAUUAUCGCCCUUCACUUUAAAAACUGCACGAGCACUUUAAUUACUUACCUUAGGUUGGGGCGACCGCGGAGUAAAACUCACCCUCCGCGCAAAGGGACUUUCCCUAACAAAGAGCUACAACUCACACAUCAACACAUUGACACAAUUGACCCAAUUACUUGAGCAACGAAACAAGUUACCCCAGGGAUAACAGCGCAAUCCACUUCAAGAGCCCAUAUCGACAAGUGGGUUUACGACCUCGAUGUUGGAUCAAGGUACCCCAGUGGUGCAGCCGCUACUAAAGGUUCGUUUGUUCAACGAUUAAAACCUUACGUGAUCUGAGU
rnacentral:rRNA from 1 species